AUUGUUUCUUGGCCCUUUGACUGAGAUUAUGUAUAGUAUCUGUUCUUAUCGGUUUAAUAUCUGAAAUGUCUUCUAUUUGAGGAUUCAAUUUUAAAUGGGUUUUUGGUACAAGGAGAUGGAGUACAGAGCUUGCUCUUUCCACUCCUUGCAGUCAUCUGGUGUUGCCCCCUUGGGGGUAACUAUC